CACGAUCUUACCUACCACGCAAGGUUUCAGAGAUAGUUUCAAUUUGGAGAAAUGACCUGAACAAGGUCAAUAAAAAAGCUGCAGAAUCAUUGGCCGAUCCGCAAGUGUGUCCUAAUUUGUUUGAGGACUGGGGCAUUCAUCCUCCUGUUGACGUGAGAUGUGAACGAACAUUCGUCUUUCUAUUUUUUUGGGCUUUUUCUAACCCAUAAAUUUCUU